rnacentral:rRNA from 1 species
AAAUUGAAGAGUUUGAUCAUGGCUCAGAUUGAACGCUGGCGGCAGGCCUAACACAUGCAAGUCGAACGGUAACAGGAAGAAGCUUGCUUCUUUGCUGACGAGUGGCGGACG